CUACGGGAUGCACCAGUGAGGAAUAUUGCACAAUGGGGGGAACCCUGAUGCAGCAACGCCGCGUGGAGGAUGACGCAUUUCGGUGUGUAAACUCCUUUUAUAUGUCAAGAAAAUGACGGUAGCAUAUGAAUAAGCACCGGCUAACUCCGUGCCAGCAGCCGCGGUAAUACGGAGGGUGCAAGCGUUACUCGGAAUCACUGGGCGUAAAGGACGCGUAGGCGGGUUGGAAAGUCAGGUGUGAAAUCCUACAGCUUAACUGUAGAACUGCACUUGAAACUUCUAAUCUAGAGUAUGGGAGGGGGAGAUGGAAUUAGUGGUGUAGGGGUAAAAUCCGUAGAUAUCACUAGGAAUACCUAAAGCGAAGGCGAUCUCCUGGAACAUUACUGACGCUAAGGCGUGAAAGCGUGGGGAGCAAACAGGAUUAGAUACCCGAAGUC
rnacentral:rRNA from 1 species